GAUCUACUCCCUCCGUUCCGAAUUACUUGUCUUAGAUUUGUCUAGAUACGGAUGUAUCUAGCACUAAAAUGAGUCUAGAUACAUCUUUAUCUAGACAAAUUUUCAAGACAAGUAAUUCGGAACGGAGGGAGUAUCAU
rfam:Triticum aestivum genome assembly, contig: Triticum_aestivum_CS42_TGACv1_scaffold_031726_1BL